rnacentral:rRNA from 1 species
UACGGAGGGGACUAGCGUUGUUCGGAAUUACUGGGCGUAAAGCGCACGUAGGCGGAUCUGUAAGUCAGGGGUGAAAUCCCGGGGCUCAACCUCGGAACUGCCUUUGAUACUGCAAAUCUCGAGUCCGGAAGAGGUGAGUGGAAUUCCUAGUGUAGAGGUGAAAUUCGUAGAUAUUAGGAAGGACACCAGUGGCGAAGGCGGCUCACUGGUCCGGUACUGACGCUGAGGUGCGAAAGCUAGGGGAGCAAACAGG